UUAGUGGGGGACGAACUCGGGGAAACGUCGAGCUAAUACUGCAUACGCCCUACGGGGGAGAGCGGGGGAUCUUCGGACCUCGCGCUAAUGGAUGAGCCUAAGUCGGAUUAGCUUGUUGGUGAGGUAAAGGCUCACCAAGGCGACGAUCCGUAGCUGGUCUGAGAGGACGAUCAGCCACACUGGGACUGAGACACGGCCCAG
rnacentral:rRNA from 1 species